UGGGGAAUUUUGGACAAUGGGCGCAAGCCUGAUCCAGCCAUGCCGCGUGCGGGAAGAAGGCCUUCGGGUUGUAAACCGCUUUUGUCAGGGAAGAAAUCUUCUGAGUUAAUACCUCGGGAGGAUGACGGUACCUGAAGAAUAAGCACCGGCUAACUACGUGCCAGCAGCCGCGGUAAUACGUAGGGUGCAAGCGUUAAUCGGAAUUACUGGGCGUAAAGCGUGCGCAGGCGGUUUUGUAAGACAGAGGUGAAAUCCCCGGGCUCAACCUGGGAACUGCCUUUGUGACUGCAAGGCUUGAGUGCGGCAGAGGGGGGCAUGGAAUUCCGCGUGUAGCAGUGAAAAUUGCGUAGAUAUGCGGAGGAAACACCGAUGGCGAAGGCAAUCCCCCUGGGCCUGCACUGACGCUCAUGCACGAAAGCGUGGGGAGCAAACAGGAUUAGAUA
rnacentral:rRNA from 1 species